rnacentral:rRNA from 1 species
AUACGGAGGACGCGAGCGUUAUCCGGAUUCAUUGGGUUUAAAGGGUGCGCAGGCGGCCGUGCAAGUCAGCGGUGAAAGCCCGGGGCUCAACCCCGGAAGUGCCGUUGAUACUGCAUGGCUGGAAUGCGGUCGAGGCGGGCGGAACGGGGCGUGUAGCGGGGAAAAGCGUAGAUAUUCCACGGAACGCCGAUAGCGGAGGAAGCUGGCCAGGCCGUCAUGGACGCUCGGGCACGAAAGCGUGGGGAUCGAACAGGAUUAGAUACCCUGGUAGUCCACGCCGUAAACGAUGGGCGCUCGUCGUCGGCGGCAGACAGUCGGCGGCCAAGCGAAAGCGAUAAGCGCCCCACCUGGGGAGUACGGUCGCAAGGCUGAAACUCAAAGGAAUUGGCGGGG